CAGGGAACUUCUGAUAGUCCGGAGAAGAACUGGGCGAAGUAAACGCCAACACCGAAUGAGCCAAUGUUCAUACAGAUGCCGUAGUAUGCUGAAGGAGCAGAUGUUGAUGCAGCAGCAGCAGAUGCCUGUUAGGCAGCGAACAGCAAGGAAAAGGAAGGGCUGAGGAAGGACAGCGGGUAUGAGGCCACACGCAGCGUGCAGUGAACGAAGAAUGCUGUGUGGACAUUCUGAUCGGAGGCGCAGCUGCCAUAUAUGGGACCUGGAAAAAACACCGGCAAGGCAGGCGAGCAGGCGCCUUAAUCAGGCUUCACAAGAGAGGAACCUGGACCCCACUCCCAUCUAUCCACCUGGCAAAUCUUCCCUCCCUGGUCAACAAGAUGGAUGAAAUCCUUCUCGUCAACAGUACUAACCCUGACUUUGCACGCUCUGCUGCCUUAUGCUUCAUGGAGACUUGGCUCAGCGACU